GAUGAACGUUGGCGGCGUGCCUAAUACAUGCAAGUCGAACGAAGACUGUAGUAAUACUGUCUUAGUGGCGAACGGGGUGAGUAACGCGUGGGUGACCUGCCCCGAAGUGUGGGAUAACAGUCCGAAAGGAUUGCUAAUACUGCAUAAUAUCCAAGAGAUUAGAUGCUUUUGGAUUAAAAGGAGUAAUUCGCUUCGGGAGGGGCCCGCGUCCCAUCAGCUAGUUGGUAAGGUAAUGGCUUACCAAGGCGAUGACGGGUAGGGACCUGAGAGGGUGGCCCCCCACAAUGGAACUGAAACACGGUCCAUACACCUACGGGUGGCAGCAGUAGGGAAUAUUAGUAAUGGGCGAAAGCCUGAACUAGCAACGCCGCGUGUGCGAAGAAGGCCUUCGGGUUGUAAAGCACUUUUGAGAGGAUGAGGAAGGACGGUACUCUCAGAAUAAGUCUCGGCUAACUACGUGCCAGCAGCCGCGGUAAGCUCGUCUCUA
rnacentral:rRNA from 1 species